rnacentral:rRNA from 1 species
AAGCUCGUAGUUGAAUUUCGGGGUUAGUAGGUUGGUCAUGCCUCUGGUAUGUACUGGUCUCACUGAUUCCUCCUUCCUUAUGAACCGUAAUGCCAUUAAUUUGGUGUUGCGGGGAAUUUGGACUGUUACUUCGAAAAAAUUAGAGUGUUUAAAGCAAGCUAACGCUUGAAUACAUUAGCAUGGAAUAAUGAAAUAGGACGUUCGAUCUUAUUUUGUUUGGUUUUCUUAGGAUUGACGUAAUGAUUAAUAGGGAUAGUUGGG